GUGGGUACAGCUCAGUGAUAGAGCACAUGCUUAGCAUGCAUGAGGUCCUGGGUUCAAUUUCCAGUACCUCCA
rnacentral:tRNA from 1 species